rnacentral:rRNA from 1 species
GACGAACGCUGGCGGCGUGCUUAACACAUGCAAGUCGAGCGGAAAGGCUCCUUCGGGGGUACUCGAGCGGCGAACGGGUGAGUAACACGUGAGUAAUCUGCCCUGUGCUCUGGGAUAGCCACCGGAAACGGUGAUUAAUACCGGAUAUGACCUGCUACUGCAUGGUGGUUGGUGGAAAGUUUUUCGGCACAGGAUGUGCUCGCGGCCUAUCAGCUUGUUGGUGAGGUAAUGGCUCACCAAGGCUUUGACGGGUAGCCGGCCUGAGAGGGUGACCGGUCACACUGGGAAUGAGACACGGCCCAGACUCCUACGGGAGGCAGCAGUGGGGAAUAUUGGACAAUGGGCGGAAGCCUGAUCCAGCAACGCCGCGUGAGGGAUGACGGCCUUCCGGUUGUAAACCUCUUUCAGUACCGACGAAGCGAAAGUGACGGUAGGUACAGAAGAAGGACCGGCCAACUACGUGCCAGCCGCCGCCGUAACAC